GUCUUGGUGGCUCAGUUGGUUAGAGCGUUGGUCUCAUAUUUAUAUGAUUCAACCUAAGGUUGGGCUAUCCAAAGGUCGUGAGUUCGAGUCUCACCCAGGACA
rnacentral:tRNA from 1 species